CUGGCUCAGAAUGAACGUGGCGGCAUGGAUCAGGCAUGCAAGUCGAGCGAAAGUAGCAAUACUUAGCGGCGAAAGGGAUAGUAAUUCGCAGAUACCUGCCCUCUGGACGGGGAUAACUUCGGGAAACUGAAGUUAAUACCCGAUAAAAUCUUCGGAUCAAAGGUGCGAUUCCGCCGGAGGAGGGGUUUGUGUCCUAUCAGGUAGAUGGUGAGGUAACGGCUCACCAUGCCAAUGACGGGUAGCGGGUGUGAGAGCAUGACCCGCAUCACUGGGACUGAGACACUGCCCAGACACCUACGGGUGGCUGCAGUCGAGAAUCUUCGUCAAUGGACGAAAGUCUGAACGAGCGAUGCCGCGUGCGGGAGGAAGGUCUUCGGAUUGUAAACCGCUGUCAGUAAUUUUGGAAAUGCUAGGUGGCAAUCCACCUAGUUUGACCUGGUUUCAGAGGAAGGACGGGCUAAGUUCGUGCCAGCAGCAGC
rnacentral:rRNA from 1 species